CAGUAGCCGCGGGAAUACAGAGGGUGCAAGCGUUAAUCGGAUUUACUGGGCGUAAAGGGCGCGUAGGUGGUUAUGUAAGUGAGAUGUGAAAUCCCCGGGCUCAACCUGGGAACUGCAUCUUAUACUGCGUAGCUGGAGUGCAGUAGAGGGUAGUGGAAUUUCCAGUGUAGAGGUGAAAUUCGUAGAUAUUCGGAAGAACACCAGUGGCGAAGGCGACUACCUGGUCUGGCAUUGACGCUCAUGUGCGAAAGCGUGGGGAGCAAACAGGAUUAGAUACCCCCGUAGUCCCUGUCUCUUAUAC
rnacentral:rRNA from 1 species